rnacentral:rRNA from 1 species
UAGCCGCGGGCGGCGUGCUUACACAUGCAGUCGAACGGAAAGGCCCUUCGGGGUACUCGAGUGGCGAACGGGUGAGUAACACGUGGGUGAUCUGCCCUGCACUCUGGGAUAAGCCUGGGAAACUGGGUCUAAUACCGGAUAGGACCACACACUUCAUGGUGAGUGGUGCAAAGCUUUUGCGGUGUGGGAUGAGCCCGCGGCCUAUCAGCUUGUUGGUGGGGUAAUGGCCCACCAAGGCGACGACGGGUAGCCGGCCUGAGAGGGUGACCGGCCACACUGGGACUGAGAUACGGCCCAGACUCCUACGGGAGGCAGCAGUGGGGAAUAUUGCACAAUGGGCGCAAGCCUGAUGCAGCGACGCCGCGUGAGGGAUGACGGCCUUCGGGUUGUAAACCUCUUUCAGUAGGGACGAAGCGAAAGUGACGGUACCUACAGAAGAAGGACCGGCCAACUACGUGCCAGCAGCCGCGGUAAUACGUAGGGUCCGAGCGUUGUCCGGAAUUACUGGGCGUAAAGAGCUCGUAGGUGGUUUGUCGCGUUGUUCGUGAAAACUCACAGCUUAACUGUGGGCGUGCGGGCGAUACGGGCAGACUAGAGUACUGCAGGGGAGACUGGAAUUCCUGGUGUAGCGGUGGAAUGCGCAGAUAUCAGGAGGAACACCGGUGGCGAAGGCGGGUCUCUGGGCAGUAACUGACGCUGAGGAGCGAAAGCGUGGGUAGCGAACAGGAUUAGAUACCCUGGUAGUCCACGCCGUAAACGGUGGGUACUAGGUGUGGGUUUCCUUCCUUGGGAUCCGUGCCGUAGCUAACGCAUUAAGUACCCCGCCUGGGGAGUACGGUCGCAAGACUAAAACUCAAAGGGAUUGACGGGGGCCCGCACAGCGGCGGAGCAUGUGGAUUAAUCGAUGCACGCGAAGAACCUUACCCGGGUUUGACAUGCACAGGACG